rnacentral:lncRNA from 1 species
CUUUACUGAAGUUGUUCCCUGAUGUUAUGAUAAAAAAGAAAGGGCCUGAGUCUAUGUAGUUGUAGUCUGGUGCCUGCUUUCAAAUGUUUAUUCUUAAAAAACCAAACAUACACCUGAUCCAAAAUGUUAUCAGCAGUUUUCUUUUAAAAGAAUACUUAAUUAGUUGUACCUUCUAGUUUAUUGCUGUUCCUGCAUAUGUGUGAUGCAGGACGCUAAUUCUGAUUGUUCUCUAAGAUUACAGUGAUACUGUUGGCCUCGUUAUCAGCUGUAUUGAUUUUGGAAAGAUUCAAAGCUAAAAUUGGUUGAAAGCAUCCUUGUAUGGGACUAAAAGUAACUGAAAAUUAAAGUCCAACGGAGAGCUCUGAAGGUGUUAAAGACCUCCAAGAAUAAUCCCUUUAUAUGUCCUGGGCUUCAUUUCUCAUUUGCACAAUUCUAACUGGGGAUGAUACUGACGAAGUGAAAGAAGAAUCAGGGCAGAUGAUGAUAAUUUACAUUCUCAGCUUCAGAGCAAAGCAUAAAUGUCCUCUUCCAGAAUCCUAUACAGAAAUAUGGAUGAAGAUACUCAGAAGACACUACAUGUAACACUGCCAGCAGAAGAGUCCAGAAAUGGAUCUGUAAGCUACCUCCUUCAACUGACAAUGACUGUGCGACACUUGGACUCCCAGGAAAAGCCAUCUAGCACAGAUGGGGACAAAGAAAGGAAAAUAAAUGCUACAGUCAGGCUUAUAAAUCUCUUCUGAGACAGGACAGCCUCCAGGCAGCCAUGUCACCCAGGAGCCCACUGCUCCCUGCCAAAGAGCUGAGGACGUUCUCAGCCUUGCCUUCACUCUGAGUGUGGAAAAGGUAGGCUUGACCCUCUUUAGCAGGGGGGAUGGAAACUCUUUGGUAGCAUCCCCUGUAUCUGCUGGAGUCAGCCAGGAGAGCUCCACUGACCCAAGUUGCCCCAGGAUGACCGCUUUCUACUGCGAUAGGCUCAGCAGUGUCACAGCAGUGCUCAUGGAAGGGUAAUGUGUGGAAGAACAACUGCUAUUUUUUCCAGUGGAUACCAUGGAAAGACGGAGGCUGAGAAAAUUACUUAUACUAACUAAAUUUGUUCCUCUCUGCUUUUCUUGCUUACUCUGCAAAUAAACAGAGACCAGGUGCCUAAUUUAUUCA